UACGUAGGGUGCGAGCGUUAAUCGGAAUUACUGGGCGUAAAGCGUGCGCAGGCGGUUUUGUAAGCCAGAUGUGAAAUCCCCGGGCUCAACCUGGGAAUGGCAUUUGGGACUGCAAGGCUGGAGUGUGGCAGAGGAGACUGGAAUUCCUGGUGUAGCAGUGAAAUGCGUAGAGAUGUGGAGGAACACCGAUGGCGAAGGCAGCCUUCUGGGCCAACACUGACGCUCAUGCACGAAAGCGUGGGGAGCAAACAGG
rnacentral:rRNA from 1 species